rnacentral:lncRNA from 1 species
GGGUUUGCUAAAGUUGUCAAAAACAAGGCCUGCUUUAAGAGAAACCAAGUGAAAUUCAGAAAAUGAUAGAAGCGUAAAAACUGAAGAUUAUACUUGGAAACGCUUGGUGAUACUGUAUAAAAAUAAGUACAACACACCCAAAUACAGGAUGAUAGUUUGGUGACAAACAGAGAUAUCAUUUGUCAGAUUGCUUAUGCCUGUAUAGGAGGGGAUAUGAUAGUCUGCACAGCUUAAGCAUAUGAACUGCCAAAAUAUGGUGUGAAGGUUGGCCUGACACAUUAUGCUACAGCAUAUUGUACUGGCUUGCUGCUGGCCUGCAGGCUUCUCAGUAAGUCUGGCAUGGUCAAGAUUUAUGAAGGCCAAGUGGAGGUGACCAGAGAUGAACACAACGUGGAAAACAUUGAUGGUCAGCUGGGUGAUUUUACCUGCUAUUUGAAGGCAGGCCUUGCCAGAACCACCACUAGUAAUAAAGUUUUGGGGGCUCUGAAGGGGGCUGUGAAUGGAGGCCUCUCCAUCUCUCACAGUACACAAUAACAGAUUCCCUGCUUAUGAUUCUGAAAGCAAGGCAUCUAAUGCAGAAGUACAUAGGAAGCACAUCAUGGGUCAGAAUGUUGCAGAUUACAUGCAUUACCUAAUGGAAGAAGCUGAAGAUCUUACAAGAAACAGUUUUCUCAAUACAUAAAGAACAGCAUAACUCCAUACAUGAUGGAGGAGAUGUGUAAGAAAGCCCACGUUGCUAUAUGAGAGAAUCCAGGUUAUGAAAAGAAGCCCAAGAAAGAAGCUAAAGAGAAAAAGUGGAAUUGUCCCAAAACGUCUCUUGCCCAGAAGAAACACUGGGUAGCUCAAAAGAAGGCAAGCUUCAUCAGAGCUUGAGAACAGGCUGCUGAGAGCUAA